rnacentral:rRNA from 1 species
ACCAUGCAGCCGAGCGGUGAGAUCUUUCGGGAUCUUGAGAGCGGCGUACGGGUGCGGAACACGUGUGCAACCUGCCUUUAUCAGGGAGAUAGCCUUUCGAAAGGAAGAUUAAUAUCCCAUAAUAUAUUAAGUGGCAUCAUUUAAUAUUGAAAGCUCCGGCGGAUAGAGAUGGGCACGCGCAAGAUUAGAUAGUUGGUAAGGUAACGGCCUACCAAGUCAGUGAUCUUUAGGGGGCCUGAGAGGGUGAUCCCCCACACUGGUACUGAGACACGGACCAGACUCCUACGGGAGGCAGCAGUGAGGAAUAUUGGACAAUGGGUGAGAGCCUGAUCCAGCCAUCCCGCGUGAAGGACGACGGUUCUAUGGAUUGUAAACUUCUUUUAUACUGGGAUAAACCUACCCUCGUGAGGGUAGCUGAAGGUACAGUAUGAAUAAGCACCGGCUAACUCCGUGCCAGCAGCCGCGGUAAUACGGAGGGUGCAAGCGUUAUCCGGAUUUAUUGGGUUUAAAGGGUCCGUAGGCGGAUCUGUAAGUCAGUGGUGAAAUCUCACAGCUUAACUGUGAAACUGCCAUUGAUACUGCAGGUCUUGAGUAAAGUAGAAGUGGCUGGAAUAAGUAGUGUAGCGGUGAAAUGCAUAGAUAUUACUUAGAACACCAAUUGCGAAGGCAGGUCACUAUGUUUUAACUGACGCUGAUGGGACGAAAGCGUGGGGAGCGAACAGGGAUUAGAUACCCUGGUAGUCCACGCCGUAAACGAUGCUAACUCGUUUUUGGGUUUUCGGAUUCAGAGACUAAGCGAAAGUGAUAAGUUAGCCACCUGGGGAGUACGUUCGCAAGAAUGAAACUCAAAGGAAUUGACGGGGGCCCGCACAAGCGGUGGAUUAUGUGGUUUAAUUCGAUGAUACGCGAGGAACCUUACCAAGGCUUAAAUGGGAAUUGACAGGUUUGGAAACAGACUUUUCUUCGGACAAUUUUCAAGGUGCUGCAUGGUUGUCGUCAGCUCGUGCCGUGAGGUGUUAGGUUAAGUCCUGCAACGAGCGCAACCCCUGUCACUAGUUGCCAUCAUUCAGUUGGGGACUCUAGUGAGACUGCCUACGCAAGUAGAGAGGAAGGUGGGGAUGACGUCAAAUCAUCACGGCCCUUACGCCUUGGGCCACACACGUAAUACAAUGGCCGGUACAGAGGGCAGCUACUAUGCGAAUAGAUGCGAAUCUCGAAAGCCGGUCUCAGUUCGGAUUGGAGUCUGCAACUCGACUCUAUGAAGCUGGAAUCGCUAGUAAUCGCGCAUCAGCCAUGGCGCGGUGAAUACGUUCCCGGGCCUUGUACACACCGCCCGUCAAGCCAUGGAAGUCUGGGGUACCUGAAGUCG